rnacentral:rRNA from 1 species
UACGUAGGGGGCAAGCGUUGUCCGGAAUCAUUGGGCGUAAAGAGCGUGUAGGCGGCUCGAUAAGUCUGCUGUGAAAGUCCAGGGCUCAACCCUGGAAGGCCGGUGGAAACUGUCGGGCUAGAGUCCGGAAGAGGCGAGUGGAAUUCCCGGUGUAGUGGUGAAAUGCGUAGAUAUCGGGAGGAACACCAGUGGCGAAGGCGGCUUCCUGGCCUGUUCUUGACGCUGAGGCGCGAAAGCUAGGGGAGCAAACGGG